AAGGAAUUACUGGGGAAGUUGGUGGUAGAGGGAGGCUAUUGACAUGUCACAGCAAGAUGCUCAAAAAUGUAGAGCACAUGGAGAAGAUUGCCAUGCUGGCUUUCCAUCCAGUUAAGAUGCACAGCUGCUAUGAGAAGGUGGUGAACCUGAGCCUUGAGGGUCUUGCAGCAACAGUUUGACGUGAGCAGCCCGUCAGUGUUUGUCCAAAGGGCCCAGAUCCCCAUGAGAGAGAUGUUUGAGCAGAUCCUUCAUCAGAGUCUCGAGUCUCAGGGUACAGAGGAGCUGUGUAAGAUCAUCCAGCACUGCCAGGACAGAGUCAUUAAGCACAUGGAGAAGAUUGCCAUGCUGGCUUUCCAUCCAGUUAAGAUGCACAGCUGCUAUGAGAAGGUGGUGAACCUGAGCCUUGAGGGUCUUGCAGCAACAGUUUGACGUGAGCAGCCCGUCAGUGUUUGUCCAAAGGGCCCAGAUCCCCAUGAGA